UUUUAGUUGCAAACUGUAAGAAGAGAAGAAAGAAAAAGCACUUUUCCGUAGACGUUUUUUCAGUAAAAUUGGUUCUGCAUUAUGAAGCUUGGAUCUUCAAACUUUGAAGAAGGAAGCAAGGUUGCUAGAGCAAACUGGGUAUGUGUUUUUGUGCUGCUAACGCCAAUGAAAACAAAAAGAUCGAGUCUGUCAGAACACCGUGUGGCCACCCCAGUUGAUAGACUCAACCGAGAACGAUCAUCUACAGCUUGGAUGAGACCACAACAUGCGGAUCAUCUGGGCCGUUAAUCACGCUCUGAUCACACGGUCGUGAUUCAUCCACCAGACUUAUGUUCCUGUCUCCUUAGAAAUCAAGGACACAGUAGUACGAGCCUAUAGAACAGAUCCUGUUCAAGUAAGAUUUUGUUACCAUUUCAACAAACAGGGGCAUCUUUUCAUGAUUGGUAGAAAAGCCUUAACAUUACUUGGACUUCAAAGAUAUGGAUGAGGCAAACAUGCCAGAUUCUGGCCGAGUGAUUUUAGCUGAUGGAGUUCUUCAAGCUUGUUCAGCAACACUUGGGUGACAAUAUCGAUGAGAAGAUUCCAGAGGAAGACACUGAGUCGUCUCCUUCCCACAGAAGCUAUAUCUAGUAUAUGGGGCUGUCACAUUCAACUGAAAUUAGAUUUAAGUUUCUCUGGUGUAUAUUUGAAUUAUCAGAAUCAGAUACGUUUUUGUUGAGUUUUACUCAGUAUCAACCUUAAGUGCUAUGGUUAACAUUUUAGAAUUUACACUUGAUAUCUACUUUGUUCUUAUAUAAUAAAGGAAUGUUGGGUAGGAUUUACAUCUAUCUAGAUAACUUGUCUUAUGUACCACACAUUUAUCAUGUAACAUGCAUCUGGGAUCAUUCCUAUAUGAUUAUGAAUUAAACUAACUAUCUUUCUUAUGUAUUA